UUUAAAAGGCCUUAGAGUCAACAGAGGGUUUAAAUCAUGCAUACUGAGCACUGAGCUUCUGUGCAAGGAAGAAUAAAUAAAUGAAAGAUGCCAUGAAGGAGAAUGCUUGGCUGACCACUGAGAAGUACGUACAUUCGAAUCUGUUUCCCUCGAGCAAUGCAUUCAGGAUCAUGAAUACAUGUUGCCAGAAUGGAUAAAUUAACCAAUCAUGCCUUUCCGUGAAGUCAGACCAAAUUUAACAAGCUCCCUUAAACAAUGAGAGAGUGAAGUGAGGCACUGACUGGGAGCUAUGCCUGCCCCCAAAUAUUAUCAAAUGGUGUAAGGAUUACAACAGGAACAGCUCUUGAUGGAGAACAUGAAUGUUCAAGGCCAAGUUCAAGGAGCUCCUGGUUCUUGACAUAAGACUACACUGUCAUCCAUUUAUUUCACUUAUUUGUAUGCUAUAAACAUCCAAUAAUUGUUACUAUCACUACUUUAAAGAAUUAAAAUUUUUAUCAAUUAAAAAUAAGAAAG